AACGAACGCUGGCGGCAGGCCUAACACAUGCAAGUCGAGCGCCCUUUUCGGAGGGAGCGGCAGACGGGUGAGUAACGCGUGGGAACCUACCCAUUGGUACGGAACAACUCAUGGAAACGUGAGCUAAUACCGUAUAAGCGCUGAGGCGGAAAGAUUUAUCGCCGAUGGAUGGGCCCGCGUAGGAUUAGCUAGUUGGUGGGGUAACGGCCUACCAAGGCGACGAUCCUUAGCUGGUCUGAGAGGAUGAUCAGCCACACUGGGACUGAGACACGGCCCAGACUCCUACGGGAGGCAGCAGUGGGGAAUAUUGGACAAUGGGCGGAAGCCUGAUCCAGCCAUGCCGCGUGAGUGAUGAAGGCCUUAGGGUUGUAAAGCUCUUUCACCCGUGAAGAUAAUGACGGUAACGGGAGAAGAAGCCCCGGCUAACUUCGUGCCAGCCGCCGCUGUAAAAC
rnacentral:rRNA from 1 species